rnacentral:sRNA from 1 species
GUGGCGGUUGACGGCAACGUU